AUACGGGGGAUCAGAGCGUUAUCCGGAUUUAUUGGGUUUAAAGGGUGCGCAGGCGGCCAUUUAAGUCAGCGGUUAAAUCGUGGGGCUCAACCCCAUUCUGCCGUUGAUACUGGGUGGCUUGAUUGCGGUCGAGGUUUGCGGAAUUCGUUGUGUAGCGGUGAAAUGCAUAGAUAUGACGAAGAACACCGAUUGCGUAGGCAGCUGACCAGACCGCAAAUGACGCUCAUGCACGAAAGUGCGGGGAUCGAACAGGAUUAGAUACCCUGGUAGUCCGCACAGUAAACGAUGAAUACUUGUUUUCGGCGAUAUAAUGUCGGAGGCAAAGCGAAAGCGAUAAGUAUUCCACCUGGGGAGUACGCCGGCAACGGUGAAACUCAAAUGAAUUGACGGGG
rnacentral:rRNA from 1 species